GGUAUUGAAAUAAGAUUUUAAUGAGUGCUAAGAGAAUGAUUAAACAAUUAAAAGCUUUCUUUAAUUAAAAAAUUAAAUUUAAUUUUUUUAGUGCAAAAGCAAAAAUAAAAUUUAGGGACAAGAAGACCCUAUGAAUUUUUAUUGUUAAUAAUUAAAAUUUAAGUUAUUAAUAAUUUAAUUGGGGCGAUAAAAAAAGAAUAAGUAUCUUUUUAGUUAUAAAAUAAGUUCCGUUUUUAGCGAUUAAAUGAAAUAAAUACUCUAGGGAUAACAGCGUAAUAAUUUUGGAUAGUUCAUAUAGAUAAAAUAGUUUGCGACCUCGAUGUUGGAUUAGGAUUCUUUUUUGGUGAAGAA
rnacentral:rRNA from 1 species